UACAGAGACUGCAAGCGUUAUUCGGAUUCACUGGGCGUAAAGGGUGCGCAGGCGGCCAGGUGUGUCAGGUGUGAAAGCCCGGAGCUUAACUCCGGAAUUGCGCCUGAAACUACUUGGCUAGAGCAUUGGAGAGGGUAGCGGAAUUCACGGUGUAGCAGUGAAAUGCGUAGAUAUCGUGAGGAACACCAGAGGCGAAGGCGGCUACCUGGACAAUUGCUGACGCUCAGGCACGAAAGCUAGGGGAGCAAACGGG
rnacentral:rRNA from 1 species